GCAUGUAGCUCAGUGGCAGAGCACUUGCCCAGCAUGCACAAGGCCCUGGGUUUGAUCCCAGCACUGCA
rnacentral:tRNA from 1 species